ACCUAGGUAGCUCAAUGGUAAAGAAUCUGCCUGCCAAGCAGAAGAUGCAAGAGACACAGGUUUGAUCCCUGGGUU
rnacentral:tRNA from 1 species